rnacentral:lncRNA from 1 species
GCUGCUCCCCCCCUGCAUAUUCGAAAAGGGCCGCUACACGUCCGCCUGCCUGGUCUGGGCUGAACCAGGACUUUCGAAAAGGGCCGCUACACGUCCACCUGCCUGGUCCGGGCUGAGCCAGGACUUUCGAAAAGGGCCGUUACACGUCCACCUGCCUGGUCUGGGCUGAGCCAGGACUUUUCGGAAAAAUGACCGAUCGGUCAUUUGGGAAGGCCCUCUCUCAACCCUUCCGGCCAAAGUAAAAAACCCAUCACAAAGGUGGUGGAGGGUUUGAUCGUUGGUCCGAAGGGCAUGCGAGAGAACCACACUCGCUUUGUCCUGUCUGGGGUCGAGAAGUUCCAUGACCUCCUAUUUAAUUAAACAGCUCGGCCACUUUUUCCUAAUCAACCAUGGAGCGACGUGAUGACACCCCAUUGCCUUGGGUAGAAUUCGAUCAGGUGCGGGGAGCCCCCAAGGCACCACUCUCCAACGCCAGCAAAAGUGAGUCAAACUGGCGUGGAGAGCUGCUCCCCCCCUGCAUAUUCGAAAAGGGCCGCUACACGUCCGCCUGCCUGGUCUGGGCUGAGCCAGGACUUUUCUGAAAAAUGACCGAUCGGUCAUUUGGGAAGGCCCUCUCCCAACCCUUCCGGCCAAAGUCAAAAGAUCCAUCACAAAGGUGGUGAAGGGUUUGUUCGUUGGUCCGAAGGGCAUGCGACAAGAAGUUCCAUGACCUGCUGUUUAAUUAAACAGCUCGGCCACUUUUUCCUAAUCAACCAUGGAGCGACGUGAUGACACCCCAUUGCCUUGGGUAGAAUUCGACAGGUGCGGGGAGCCCCCAAGGCACCACUCUCCAACGCCAGCCAAAGUGAGUCAAACUGGCAUGGAGAGCUCCUCCCCCCUGAAUAUUCGAAAAGGGCCGCUACACGUCCGCCUGCCUGGUCUGGGCUAAGCUAGGACUUUUCGGAAAAAUGACCGAUCGGUCAUUUGGGAAGGCCCUCUCCCAACCCUUCCGGCCAAAGUCAAAAGAUCCAUCACAAAGGUGGUGGAGGGUUUGUUCGUUGGUCCGAAGGGCAUGCGAGAG